rnacentral:rRNA from 1 species
CCUACGGGAGGCAGCAGUAGGGAAUCUUCCGCAAUGGACGAAAGUCUGACGGAGCAACGCCGCGUGAGUGAUGAAGGUUUUCGGAUCGUAAAACUCUGUUGUUAGGGAAGAACAAGUGCUAGUUGAAUAAGCUGGCACCUUGACGGUACCUAACCAGAAAGCCACGGCUAACUACGUGCCAGCAGCCGCGGUAAUACGUAGGUGGCAAGCGUUAUCCGGAAUUAUUGGGCGUAAAGCGCGCGCAGGUGGUUUCUUAAGUCUGAUGUGAAAGCCCACGGCUCAACCGUGGAGGGUCAUUGGAAACUGGGAGACUUGAGUGCAGAAGAGGAAAGUGGAAUUCCAUGUGUAGCGGUGAAAUGCGUAGAGAUAUGGAGGAACACCAGUGGCGAAGGCGACUUUCUGGUCUGUAACUGACACUGAGGCGCGAAAGCGUGGGGAGCAAACAGGAUUAGAUACCCUGGUAGUCCACGCCGUAAACGAUGAGUGCUAAGUGUUAGAGGGUUUCCGCCCUUUAGUGCUGAAGUUAACGCAUUAAGCACUCCGCCUGGGGAGUACGGCCGCAAGGCUGAAACUCAAAGGAAUUGACGGA